rnacentral:rRNA from 1 species
UGGGGGAUAUUGCACAAUGGGGGGAACCCUGAUGCAGCGACGCCGCGUGGGUGAUGGAGUACUCCGGUAUGUAAAGCCCUAUCGGCAGGGAAGAAGAUGACGGUACCUGACUAAGAAGCUCCGGCUAAAUACGUGCCAGCAGCCGCGGUAAUACGUAUGGAGCGAGCGUUAUCCGGAUUUACUGGGUGUAAAGGGUGCGUAGGCGGCAGGGCAAGCCAGAUGUGAAAGCCCGGGGCCCAACCCCGGCAGUGCAUUUGGAACUGCCCGGCUGGAGUGCGGGAGGGGUAAGCGGAAUUCCUAGUGUAGCGGUGAAAUGCGUAGAUAUUAGGAGGAACACCAGUGGCGAAGGCGGCUUACUGGACCGUGACUGACGCUGAGGCACGAAAGCGUGGGGAGCAAACAGG